UCGGGAAUUUUGGGCAAUGGGGGAAACCCUGACCCAGCAACGCCGCGUGAAGGAUGAAGUAUUUCGGUAUGUAAACUUCGAAAGAAUAGGAAGAAUAAAUGACGGUACUAUUUAUAAGGUCCGGCUAACUACGUGCCAGCAGCCGCGGUAAUACGUAGGGACCAAGCGUUGUUCGGAUUUACUGGGCGUAAAGGGCGCGUAGGCGGCAUGACAAGUCACUUGUGAAAUCUCUGGGCUUAACCCAGAACGGCCAAGUGAUACUGUCGCGCUAGAGUGCAGAAGGGGCAAUCGGAAUUCUUGGUGUAGCGGUGAAAUGCGUAGAUAUCAAGAGGAACACCUGAGGUGAAGACGGGUUGCUGGGCUGACACUGACGCUGAGGCGCGAAAGCCAGGGGAGCAAACGGGAUUAGAUACCCGCGUAGUCCCUGAGCGGGCUGGCA
rnacentral:rRNA from 1 species